AUCUGUGUUUCUGCAACAUGACGCACAAGUCGAUUACGUGCCCUGAGUCAGUCGUUCAGACAAACUGCAGCCUGGGUGCUCUCUACAAGGCCCGAGGCCGGAAUGCAAACAAAGCAGGUCAUACCCAGACCUUGCUUCCAAAAAAAAGCCUCCACGUUUACAAGACUUCACAUCAAUGUUAGUGAUCUUCUCGAUAUCAGCGCCAGUUCCAUCCACAACUGACAACAAACUCAAACAUGAGCUCCAUUCUGGGCGUCUUUUUAUUCCUUAUCUGUCGGGAAUUGUUUACCACGUGCAGACUUUGCCGGAGUCCAGACGCAUCCAAACCCUCGGAAGCUGAGACCGCCUGGCAUUGCCGUAAUCACUUUGCUGUUUAGUUAAGAUCACGCAACCCUUUCUCAGCUGCCCAGUCAGCAGAAAAGGACAUUGGCUGCAAAAUCCCGGUCACUGCAGGACUUGUAUGUGUCCAGCACGAACCAGCAAGAGGAAACAUCGCUGUGGACUCUACUCAUCCUGCAAGCUGCCUUUUCCAAAAGCCUCACACUUGAAAGUGCUAAGGGGCUAUUAAAACAUAAAUUUCACACCAUCUGAGAAGUUUCUUCUGAUCAAUCUGAUUAAUCACUGUGGGCCUUCCCACCCCCUUCUAUCUAUUACCUCAGUCCCUGCACGACACAAACUUUCCAUGAUGGCACACUCAAGUUCAAGUUUACUGUCAUUCAACAUGUCUGCUGCCAAAGGAAACAACAUUCCUCCAGACAAAGGGUUUUGGGGGAGAAGGCAGGAGAGAGAGACAGAGGAUGGACCAGGUGCUGUGAUGUCCGCUAACGGGGUCGGACCCUGAGGAGGGCGUUCGGCGAGGAGACGGAGACAGACUCAUGUGGAGCGUCGGGUCGACCACUGUUGUUGGGCCCAGGCGGCCGGUUGAGGUGGUCCGAGGGGUUGCAGGGUGAAGAAGAAGGGUCCUGAGCUCCAACUGUUUGUGCACGAAGAGAUUGAACUUUGAUAAGUGUGGCACCUUUUAUUUUCCUUUUAUAUUUUAUUCUCUAUUA